rnacentral:rRNA from 1 species
GAUGAACGCUGGCGGCGUGCCUAAUACAUGCAAGUCGAGCGAACAGAUAAGGAGAUUGCUCCUUUGACGUUAGCGGCGGACGGGUGAGUAACACGUGGGUAACCUACCUAUAAGACUGGGAUAACUUCGGGAAACCGGAGCUAAUACCGGAUAACAUUUGGAACCGCAUGGUUCUAAAGUGAAAGAUGGUUUUGCUAUCACUUAUAGAUGGACCCGCGCCGGAUUAGCUAGUUGGUAAGGUAACGGCUUACCAAGGCGACGAUACGUAGCCGACCUGAGAGGGUGAUCGGCCACACUGGAACUGAGACACGGUCCAGACUCCUACGGGAGGCAGCAGUAGGGAAUCUUCCGCAAUGGGCGAAAGCCUGACGGAGCAACGCCGCGUGAGUGAUGAAGGGUUUCGGCUCGUAAAACUCUGUUAUUAGGGAAGAACAAAUGUGUAAGUAACUGUGCACGUCUUGACGGUACCUAAUCAGAAAGCCACGGCUAACUACGUG